AUGCCUCUUCCCAGCCGAAGCCUCUACUUCCGACAAUGGCCGCUCUGCUUAUCCCUUCUGUGCUUUCAUUUAGUUCCUAGAGCUCAGUUGACGCUGCUGAUAGGGCACGUACAAUGGACAAAUGCCCUCGAAGCUCCCUUUUUAAAUAACCGCUGCCGACCUGAUAGCGUAUGGCAAUCCACCAGUAACGCUCCGAACUUUUUUCUGGUAGAACGGCUUGUCCACCUAUUUGACUUGGCGUGUUGGUGUUGAACCGCUCUUGAAAGAUGCAAGUAUGUCUGAACAUGGAAAAUACGUGAACGUAUUCUUCCACCAGCUUCUGACAUCAAGUCAAUAAGCCCUGGAGCUUUAGCUGCUGGUUACAUACAGGUCCUAGAUUCAGCUUUUGCCAACAUGGAAAACGGUGAUGAAUUAUUCACCAAAUUCAUGAACAUGGUGCAGAAGUCAGGUGAAAGCCGUCCGCCUCCCUGUAGCGGCUACAGGUAGCGUUGACACUGACUGUAAAGCUAAAAUUGAGGCUAACAAGCAUCUCUUAAAGCAGUUUUGCGGGGGAUAUUGGGACCACUCCCCAGUGUUAGAGCUGCAACUGGAACCGAAAACUCAAAGCCUGCCAUCAUUGACAUUUCUAAGCAUGCUUCCAGAACCGCACGCAGGGAACAGCCAAACAUCGUGCCAUUACUCCGGGUGCCUGUAAAGAAGAUGGUGUUGCACAGCUAAUUUCAAUUACUUCUCAACUAACUAAGCAAAUUCAUGAGUUACUCCACAAGCCACGAAACAGCAGAAAGUAAAAAAAAAAUGGUGAGGUGUCUGUGCGAGAACGAAGCGUGGCUGACGCAGGCGCGGGAAAGCGAGAGAAAUGCGGCAAACUUUCGGAAACUAAAAAUAUCAUCCGUUAACAGUGGAAUUAGUAGUCGGGGGUCGGCAACCUGCGGCUCCCGAGCCAUUUGUGGCUCUUUCACCUCUGUGCUGCGGCUCCCUGUGGCUUUGGGAAAUAAUUGCUACAGAACAAAUCCAACAGAGACGGUGAAAUGAGAUGAAACUCAAACGUUCUGCAGGUCUCGGUGUGGGGAUCCCAAAGCCGAGUCUGAGGUGGAGGAACACGCACUCGAUGGACAGGUGACGUGUCUGCUAUUGUGCUCCCAACUCAAACUUCUUGAUGCCAGUCCUAAUGUUUCUCCUCUGUGUUAGGUAGUAAUAGCAAUGGAUUCCUAGGAGAUCAUGUGGAUGUUAUGUUCUCUCAUGGAAGGCAGUCUCUUUCAAGAGUCUGGUGCAUGGCAUGGGAACAACGUAGCCUAUUUACUGAGAUCCUGGCUCCCACAGUCCCACCAUGGAAUCUGUGCAGGGAAUGCUGACCUGAGAGAGGACACUUACUCUGCCAAUGGUUUUGCAGUAUUUUUUUGAGAUGGUGUUAAUUGCUUCAAAAAAUCAGGGAUCACAUCUGCCUGGAAGGCCAAGAGCAUUGUGAUGGACAAUAUCUGUCCUUACUUAGAAUGGCAGCAUGCUUGAAAAAACAGCCAGGUUCCUUCCUGCCUAGAGAGACUUCAGCUCUUCAGCAGGUCUCUAGGUCCUGCAUACAAUUUUGGGCAAUGUGCAUCAACCAGUGUACCCCUUAGAGGAGGGAAGACAGUCCAGAAAAUGGUGUGAUGUGAUGGUUAAUCUAUUGGAUUAGUUACUAGAGUUUGGAUCAGUGAUCCAGAGGUUCAAGAUCUUGUGGUAGCCGAGUCUCUAAGUUCAAGAAGACUUAGACUCCAAUAACUUGCUAGAAAUCCUAAUGUUUAGCAUCUGGCAAACCAGCUGAUGUGGGCCACAAGCAACACAAAAUGAUUUUGCAACUGCUGGAAAUCUUGAGCAACACACACAAAAUUCUGGAGGCCUGAUAAAGAGUCUUGGCCAAAAACAUCUACUGUGUAUUU